rnacentral:rRNA from 1 species
CACGUAGGGCGCAAGCGUUGUCCGGAAUUACUGGGCGUAAAGCGUGCGUAGGCGGUUCGUUAAGUCUGUUGUGAAAGCCCCGGGCUCAACCUGGGAAUGGCAAUGGAUACUGGCGAGCUAGAGUGUGUCAGAGGAGAGUGGAAUUCCCGGUGUAGCGGUGAAAUGCGCAGAUAUCGGGAAGAACACCCGUGGCGAAGGCGGCUCUCUGGGACGGUACUGGACGCUGAGACGCGAAAGCGUGGGGAGCGAACAGG